AAUAUUGGACAAUUGGGGCAACGCUGAUCCAGCCAUGCCGCGUGUUUGAAGAAGGUCCUCUGUUUGUAAAGCACUUUAAGUUGGGAGGAAGGGGUUUAGGUUAAUGCCCUGAAGUUUUGACGUUACCAACAGUAUAAGCACCGGCUAACCCUGUCCCAUCAGCCGCGGUAAUACAGUGUGUGCAAGCGUUAAUCGGAAUUACUGGGCGUAAAGCGCGCGUAGGUGGUUAAGUAAGAUGAGUGUGAAAUCCCCGGGCUUAACCUGGGAACUGCUUUCAUAACUGCUGAGCUAAAGUACGGUAGAGGGUAGUGGAAUUUCCUGUGUAGCGGUGAAAUGCGUAGAUAUAGGAAGGAACACCAGUGGCGAAGGCGACUACCUGGACUGAUACUGACACUGAGGUGCGAAAGCGUGGGGAGCAA
rnacentral:rRNA from 1 species